UUGUGAUUUCUAUAUGUUGAUUUAUAUGUUACUUAUGUGAGAUUGAUCAAUUGAUUUUGUUUUAUGGAAAACUUUUAUAUGUUUUUGUUCUUUGGUGCGCAACUUAGAAUGAUUGCAUAUAAUUGGAGCUAGUAAUUAGGUUCAUGCUUUGUGACCCUAAUUCGAAUAAGUAGUAAAAGCUUUGGACAAAAGUCGAAAUCAAUUGGUUUGUGUUAUUGAAUAGACAUGCUUUAAUUUGUGUACUAGGAUUAAUACAAUUAUUGACUAAACUUUCACUUGCUCUUAAUGAUUUGAAACUUGAGUUUGCAUAGUUGCUUUGAUUGUGUGAAACCUGUUUUCAAAAUAUAUUGGUUAGGUGCUUUGCUUGAUCAAUUGUGUAAAGGGAAGUAAAAUAAGGGACAUUGGUUGCUUUGAUCUUUGUUUCUUGGUUGAUAUAUUCUCGUCUCAUAGAUAACCAACUAUUAGAAUUGUAACCGGAUUUCUUGCAUAUGGAUGUAGUUUUGAUCUUUGUUCCUUACGUUCCACCCUUGUAAAUGUGUUUUUACAUUCUCUUUAUUUUAUUUAGUUUAAUUUUCGAAACCAUAAUUCUUAAACCCCCCUUUUUUGUUUAGUUAUUUGUAUAUAUUUCUAUUAUGUAUUUUAUUUUUGUAAAUAAUACUUUAUUGUUUAAUUUCUUUAUUUGUUUACACAAUUACAUGUGUACCCUCAAUCCCCGGAUAGAACGAUCCCUAUUUACCAUAUACUAACGAUGACAUUUUAAAGAGUUAAAUUGCAUAUGUUGCUUUGAUUGUGUGAAACCUGUUUUCAAAAUAUAUUGGUUAGGUGCUUUGCUUGAUCAAUUGUGUAAAGGGAAGUAAAAUAAGGGACAUUGGUUGCUUUGAUCUUUGUUUCUUGGUUGAUAUAUUCUCGUCUCAUAGAUAACCAACUAUUAGAAUUGUAACCGGAUUUCUUGCAUAUGGAUGUAGUUUUGAUCUUUGUUCCUUACGUUCCACCCUUGUAAAUGUGUUUUUACAUUCUCUUUAUUUUAUUUAGUUUAAUUUUCGAAACCAUAAUUCUUAAACCCCC
rnacentral:lncRNA from 1 species